rnacentral:rRNA from 1 species
AUGCAAGUCGAGCGAAUGGAUUAAGAGCUUGCUCUUAUGAAGUUAGCGGCGGACGGGUGAGUAACACGUGGGUAACCUACCCAUAAGACUGGGAUAACUCCGGGAAACCGGGGCUAAUACCGGAUAAUAUUUUGAACUGCAUAGUUCGAAAUUGAAAGGCGGCUUCGGCUGUCACUUAUGGAUGGACCCGCGUCGCAUUAGCUAGUUGGUGAGGUAACGGCUCACCAAGGCGACGAUGCGUAGCGACCUGAGAGGGUGAUCGGCCACACUGGGACUGAGACACGGCCCAGACUCCUACGGGAGGCAGCAGUAGGGAAUCUUCCGCAAUGGACGAAAGUCUGACGGAGCAACGCCGCGUGAGUGAUGAAGGCUUUCGGGUCGUAAAACUCUGUUGUUAGGGAAGAACAAGUGCUAGUUGAAUAAGCUGGCACCUUGACGGUACCUAACCAGAAAGCCACGGCUAACUACGUGCCAGCAGCCGCGGUAAUACGUAGGUGGCAAGCGUUAUCCGGAAUUAUUGGGCGUAAAGCGCGCGCAGGUGGUUUCUUAAGUCUGAUGUGAAAGCCCACGGCUCAACCGUGGAGGGUCAUUGGAAACU